UGGGGUNUCAAUACUCACAGGAGCUGGG
rnacentral:piRNA from 1 species